AGAAUCAACGCUGGCGGCGUGCCUAACACAUGCAAGUCGAACGCGGUUACCGCAGCUCCGCAAGGAGUUGUGGUGACUGAGUGGCGAACGGGUGAGUAACACGUGGGUGAUCUACCUUUGAGUGGGGGAUAACGUUCCGAAAGGAACGCUAAUACCGCAUGACGUUCUGGGUUUGAAGACCUGGAAACCAAAGUCGGGGACCGCAAGGCCUGACGCUUGGAGAGGAGCCCGCGCCUGAUUAGCUAGUUGGUGAGGUAAUGGCUCACCAAGGCGACGAUCAGUAGCC
rnacentral:rRNA from 1 species